UACGGGGGGGGGCAAGCGUUGUUCGGAAUUACUGGGCGUAAAGGGCUCGUAGGUGUCCAACUAAGUCAGACGUGAAAUCCCUCGGCUUAACCGGGGAACUGCGUCUGAUACUGGAUGGCUUGAGUUUGGGAGAGGGAUGCGGAAUUCCAGGUGUAGCGGUGAAAUGCGUAGAUAUCUGGAGGAACACCGGUGGCGAAGGCGGCAUCCUGGACCAACACUGACGCUGAGGAGCGAAAGCCAGGGGAGCAAACGGG
rnacentral:rRNA from 1 species